rnacentral:tRNA from 1 species
AUCCAGGGAUGGGAAUCGAACCCACAGUGUUCCGCUUACAGGGCAGAUGUCAUGUCCACUAGGCUACCCUGUA